rnacentral:rRNA from 1 species
UGGGGAAUAUUGCACAAUGGGGGAAACCCUGAUGCAGCGACGCCGCGUGAAGGAAGAAGUAUUUCGGUAUGUAAACUUCUAUCAGCAGGGAAGAAAAUGACGGUACCUGACUAAGAAGCCCCGGCUAACUACGUGCCAGCAGCCGCGGUAAUACGUAGGGGGCAAGCGUUAUCCGGAUUUACUGGGUGUAAAGGGAGCGUAGACGGAGGAGCAAGUCCGAUGUGAAACUCCGGGGCUUAACCCCGGAACUGCAUUGGAAACUGUUUAUCUGGAGUGCCGGAGGGGUAAGCGGAAUUCCUGGUGUAGCGGUGAAAUGCGUAGAUAUCAGGAGGAACACCGGUGGCGAAGGCGGCUUACUGGACGGUAACUGACGUUGAGGCUCGAAAGCGUGGGGAGCAAACA